GACGAACGCUGGCGGCGUGCUUAACACAUGCAAGUCGAACGGAAAGGCCCUGCUUUUGUGGGGUGCUCGAGUGGCGAACGGGUGAGUAACACGUGAGUAACCUGCCCUUGACUUUGGGAUAACUUCAGGAAACUGGGGCUAAUACCGGAUAGGAGCUCCUGCUGCAUGGUGGGGGUUGGAAAGUUUCGGCGGUUGGGGAUGGACUCGCGGCUUAUCAGCUUGUUGGUGGGGUAGUGGCUUACCAAGGCUUUGACGGGUAGCCGGCCGGAGAGGGUGACCGGCCACAUUGGGACUGAGAUACGGCCCAGACUCCUACGGGAGGCAGCAGUGGGGAAUAUUGCACAAUGGGCGGAAGCCUGAUGCAGCAACGCCGCGUGCGGGAUGACGGCCUUCGGGUUGUAAACCGCUUUCGCCUGUGACGAAGCGUGAGUGACGGUAAUGGGUAAAGAAGCACCGGCUAACUACGUGCCAGCAGCCGCGGUGAUACGUAGGGUGCGAGCGUUGUCCGGAUUUAUUGGGCGUAAAGGGCUCGUAGGUGGUUGAUCGCGUCGGAAGUGUAAUCUUGGGGCUUAACCCUGAGCGUGCUUUCGAUACGGGUUGACUUGAGGAAGGUAGGGGAGAAUGGAAUCCCUGGUGGAGCGGUGGAAUGCGCAGAUAUCAGGAGGAACACCAGUGGCGAAGGCGGUUCUCUGGGCCUUUCCUGACGCUGAGGAGCGAAAGCGUGGGGAGCGAACAGGCUUAGAUACCCUGGUAGUCCACGCUGUAAACGGUGGGUACUAGGUGUGGGGUCCAUUCCACGGGUUCCGUGCCGUAGCUAACGCUUUAAGUACCCCGCCUGGGGAGUACGGCCGCAAGGCUAAAACUCAAAGGAAUUGACGGGGCCCCGCACAAGCGGCGGAGCAUGCGGAUUAAUUCGAUGCAACGCGUAGAACCUUACCUGGGUUUGACAUGGAUCGGGAGUGCUCAGAGAUGGGUGUGCCUCUUUUGGGGUCGGUUCACAGGUGGUGCAUGGCUGUCGUCAGCUCGUGUCGUGAGAUGUUGGGUUAAGUCCCGCAACGAGCGCAACCCUUGUUCACUGUUGCCAGCACGUUAUGGUGGGGACUCAGUGGAGACCGCCGGGGUCAACUCGGAGGAAGGUGGGGAUGACGUCAAGUCAUCAUGCCCCUUAUGUCCAGGGCUUCACGCAUGCUACAAUGGCUGGUACAGAGAGUGGCGAGCCUGUGAGGGUGAGCGAAUCUCGGAAAGCCGGUCUCAGUUCGGAUUGGGGUCUGCAACUCGACCUCAUGAAGUCGGAGUCGCUAGUAAUCGCAGAUCAGCAACGCUGCGGUGAAUACGUUCCCGGG
rnacentral:rRNA from 1 species